CUUUUGGCGCUCACAUGCCUUUGGACUCGCGUUCCUUUUUGGUGGGAAACUCGUGUUCGGGAAAAGGCCACUCGCUCAGUGAAAAUUUCAUCACCGUCGUUGACAGUUCAGCCAGAAAAAGUCCUCUAGCUUUCCAUUCUCCAUCAAAAUCUCAAAAUUAUCUAAACUCAUUUUGUGUUCACUUUUUGAUCAUUCAAAGGCAUCGUUCCGACGUUCAUUCGCUUGUCAGCGACUAGAUAGCGCGGAUUCCAGUGGAUUUCUAGCAAUUUUGAUUCUCAGAGCAUCCGGCUAGCAAAGAACACUGCUCCCAGGACCCAAAAGAGGGAACGAAAGCGAGGAGCCACUGUUCGACUUAAUUGUCGACCACUGUCAAUAUUAGCGCCAUUGCAACUGCUGGGUGUGGGCGAAUCUGCGCCCCGCCACCGG